CUGCUGCAAGGUCGCUAAAACCUUGGAGCAGCAAGCUGUUGCAGUUCCUAUACUGGGUGGGAAUUUGACGCCUAAUUUGGGAAGCAAAGUCUCUGGACAAACUAAAACCGUUUUUAGAUAAGAAUGCUUUUGUUAUCUUUUGUUUGGGAGGAACACGCUCAUGUUGAUUGACAUGGUGAUCAGUGGACAACUUGUCCAUACAGUAUUUGGUGAAGUGGUGUGGUGACCUUGUAGCAAAAGUUUAGAGAAGGCGAGUUGGAUUACAGAAUCUGUUUCUUGGGCAAAUCGGUUUGUCUAUAUCGAUUUUAGUGGAAGACUUCCUCCCCAGUACUGAAAUCGAUAGGCAUUGCCAUUGCCGAGGAGUGGUUUAUUUGUAAUGCGCAGAUGGAAACAAUAGAUUCACAUAUUCUUUAAAUGCUCCAUGGUCGUGAAACUAGGGAGAUGAUUCUCUGGCAGCUUCAUAAGGGGACGAUGGCCGGAUGCCUGCUGCAGGGUCGUUUGAAAUUCACAGCCAUACAAAAAAACAACAUACGUAUUCGUGUGAUGAAAAAGUUGGUGAGAAAGUGCACAAGAUUUGGAGGAAGGAAUUGCAUGGGGCCAUUUGGCUUUGCGAACAAUAUGCAGGUGUUUCGUGAAUCUGCCUCCCCCCUUCACCUGUACUCUCCCUCUGCUGACCGGCGCUACUAACCGAGUGUUUUCCUCCGGCGGUGCCUUUUCCCUUUCUCCCAGGCCUCUCUCUCCUUCUCUCUAUCUCUGUCUCCGGUGGAGGCAAGAGCUGCAUUGGUCAUGGCCGACGCAGCUGUCGUUCUCUCUCUCUCUCUCUCCCUCCCCAGUGACUUGCCCUUCCUCCUCUACAGCCCCAGUGCCCCCUCUUCACCAGCGGUUUCCGGCGGACAGAAGGAGAAGAAAUGGUGCAGUACAUGCGGAGGCUUAUGGUGGCCGCUCGGACAAUCUUAUCCGGCGACGAGGAUCGGAAGGAGGGGGCUGACCAUCACGUGGACGUAGCGGCGUGGGGUGUCUCAGGUACCCUGAAACCUCAUCAGGUGGAGGGCGUCGCGUGGCUCAUACGCAGAUAUCAGCAGGGCGUCAAUGUUAUCCUCGGAGACGAGGUUGGUCAUUUUCUCUUUGUCUUGUUUAUUUGGCAGCAUUGCGUUCUUUGCAUGGGGGAAUUGAUGGAUUAUCAGUCAGAUUGCUAUUUUCUUGAGGUUUAAGGGUUUGUUUUGUGGAAGUUCUGGCUCGAUUUCAAGGAUGACUUGUUUGUUCUGUAUCGGCUCCUUCUACUGUAGCUAUUGGUUCCUCGUUCUUGAGAAUUGGUAACUGUGAUGAUGGGUCUUGGAAAAACGUUGCAAGCUAUUUGUUUUCUGAGCUAUUUAAAAUUUGAACAGAAAAUACCUGGGCCUUUUUUGAUAUUAUGUCCUCUCAGUGUCACAGAUGGUUGGAUGUCAGAGUUUGCCACAUUUUCACCAAAUCUUAAAGUUAUGCGAUAUGUUGGUGACAAAGUGCUGCGUUGUCUCCUGCGCAAGAAGAUGCUAGAACAUGUUAGCAAGCGAUGUAAAGGCAAUCCAACUUUACCAUUUGAUGCCUUCUUAACGACAUAUGACAUUGCAAUACUGGAUCAGGAAUUUCUUUCUCAAAUGCCCUGGUGCUUUGCGGUAAUUGACGAAGCUCAACGGCUCAAGAAUGCAUCCAGUGUCUUGUAUAAUGUUCUCAAGAGCCAGUUUGUUCUGCCAAGGAGGCUGUUGUUGACAGGAACACCAAUUCAAAACAAUAUUUCUGAGCUUUGGGCUUUAUUGCAUUUUUGUAUGCCACUUCUGUUUGGAUCACUGGAUGAUUUUGUUGAGGCGUUCAAGGAAGCCGGAGGUCCUGUUUCAGGCAAAAACACUAGUCAAUUUGGAGCAUUGAAGUAUAUACUGAAAGCAUUUUUGUUGCGGAGGACAAAGGCAAUGCUUACGGAAAAUGGCACCCUCUUACUGCCACCUCUGACUGAGAUCACUGUGUUGGUGCCUCUUGUGCAAUUGCAAAAAAGGGUUUAUGUAUCAAUACUGAGGCGGGAACUUCCAAAAAUUCUUGCAUCCUCAUCUGGUGCUCCAAGUCAACAUGCUUUACAGAACAUUGUUAUUCAGCUUCGAAAAGCUUGCAGCCAUCCAUAUCUCUUCAGUGGAAUUGAACCGGAACCAUUUUCUGAAGGUGAGCAUUUGGUGCUGGCUAGUGGCAAACUUAUUGUUCUAGACAAAAUACUUCAGAAGCUCUCUGCUGGAAACCAUCACGUUCUACUGUUUGCGCAGAUGACUCAAACACUUGACAUUCUUCAGGAUUUUUUGGAGCUGAGGAGGUACACCUAUGAACGCCUGGAUGGAUCUGUUCGUGCAGAAGAGAGGUUUGCUGCAAUAAGAAGGUUCAGUGAACAACCAUCGGACAGGUCUUCUGAUUCACAUCUUGGGCAAGAUGAUGCAUUUGUAUUUAUGAUUUCCACAAGAGCGGGAGGUGUUGGGCUAAAUCUGGUUGCCGCUGAUACUGUUAUAUUCUAUGAGCAGGAUUGGAACCCACAAGUGGAUAAACAGGCUUUGCAGCGUGCUCACCGCAUUGGCCAGAUCAAACAUGUUCUGUCGAUUAACUUAGUAACUUCUGGCACCGUUGAGGAGGUAAUUAUGAGAAGUGCAGCAAGUAAAUUGCAACUCAGCCAGAAUGUAAUUGGUGGAGAGUAUGUCACCAAUAAUGGUGACACAGAGGCAAAUGUUGAAAAUGCGGACCUCAAAUCCAGUAUAGUUUUUGGGUUAGACAAGUUUGAUCCAGUGGACAUACUUGAAGAGAGUUUCAAUGACGGAAAUAUGAGUGAAGUGGAUUCCUUGGCUGAGACUGUCUUACAAGCACGCUUCGAUGACUCAGGCAAAAAAGUUGACCAGGGGUAUGAAAUUGGACCAAUGAAUGUGCUAGAUGAAGGUAAGUUACGUCUUGAAAGAAAUUAUGCAUCUGCAAGUGUAGAUCCUGGAUUUGAUGAGGCCUCAUAUGUUUCAUGGCUUGAGAAAUUUAAAGAUGCUGACAUGCCUUCACAAAGCUCUUCUGACACAAACUUGAGGAAACAGUUAUUGGCAGAAAAGGUUUCCGAGCUUGAAGCAGAUAAGCAGAAGAAGAUGGAAGAGAAAAGAUUAAGAAAAUGGGAAGCCCUUGGUUAUCAGUCUUUAGCUGUGGAGGAACCUCCUCAAAGCAUCGGUGAGAAUGCUUUAUCAGAUUCUGGAUCUGUUGAAUUUGUCUUCGGAGAUUGCACAAAGCCAGCAAAGAGAUGUCCAUCUGAGCCAACUGUCAUUUUUAGUUGUGUUGAUAACUCUGGCAUAUGGGGCAGAGGUGGAAUGUUUGAUGCACUGUUAAAUCUCUCUUCUAUUGUCCCUGAUUCAUACAAGAAAGCUUCUGAAUGUUCAGACCUUCAUUUGGGUGAUCUUCAUUUUGUCAGAAUCAAUGGAACUAAUGAGGAAGAGAAAGAUGAAGCGGUUGGUGACGGUCCACAGUGGGUUGCUCUUGCUGUUGUACAGUCAUAUAACCCCCGGCGUAAAGUGCCGCGCAGCAACAUAUCUAUGCCUGAUUUGGAAAAGUGCAUCAGAAAAGCUUGUUUCUCAGCUGCCCGUCUUUCAGCAUCAAUACAUAUGCCUCGCAUCGGAUAUCAGGAUGGAUCAGAACGUACGGAAUGGUAUACUGUUGAGCGACUCCUAAGAAAAUAUGCAUCAGCUUAUGGUGUAAAAAUUUUUGUGUACUACUUUCGUCGGUUUGCAUGAGGGCCCGAGGAGGCAGAAUUUACUAAAGCGUUUUGUGUUAUGCGAAAAGAAUGCACCUCUGACACUGUUAUGAGCGACUGACCUGAUGAGUAUUGGCAAACCCAGGACAAUCAUGGAAUUUGCUCUGCUUGCAGAUUUUGUAUGCAGAAAUAAAUUAUUAAUUUCGAAUACUUUCCUCGAUGAAGU